ACACGCUGGCGGCGUGCCUAACACAUGCAAGUCGAGCGGAGAUGCAGCAAUGCAUUUUAGCGGCGGACGGGUGAGUAACACGUGGGUAACCUGCCCUAUACAGGGGGAUAGCCACUCGAAAGGGUGAUUAAUACCGCAUAACACAUAUUUGUGGCAUCACAGAUAUGUCAAAGGAUAUUGUAGUGAAAGCUGCAGUAUCCGAUAUAGGAUGGACCCGCGGCCCAUUAGCUAGUUGGUGAGGUAAAGGCUCACCAAGGCGACGAUGGGUAGCCGACCUGAGAGGGUGAUCGGCCACAUUGGAACUGAGAUACGGUCCAGACUCCUACGGGAGGCAGCAGUGGGGAAUAUUGCGCAAUGGGGGAAACCCUGACGCAGCAACGCCGCGUGAGUGAAGAAGGCCUUCGGGUCGUAAAGCUCUUUAAUCAGGGAUGAAUAAUGACAGUACCUGAAGAAUAAGCCACGGCUAACUACGUG
rnacentral:rRNA from 1 species